rnacentral:lncRNA from 1 species
GAGUUCGUUGUGAUCUCGUGAAAACAACAAGUUGGGUUGUGAACUUGUAAAACAACCGGCUGUAAUCCGUGGGAUUAUAGUGAACUCCCAAGUGAAGCUUGGGGAGUGGACGUAGGAGCAAGGGUUAGCUCCGAACCACUAUAAAAUCUCUUGUGUUUGUGAUUGUUUCAUUGUCUCUUCCAUUCCCUUCAUUCACUGCAUAUAGUAAACUAAUUAAUCCACUUGCAAUAAGGUUUAAUUAGUUACUCAUUAAGUUUUUAUUUGCA